GGCGCGGACGUGCACGCCAAGGACUCCCACGGCUGGACGCCGCUGAUGCGCGCCGGAUGGAGCCAAUAAAGGUGGAGUGGAUGCGACUUUGGCUGUGGCGACUGCUGCAUCGACGAUGCUCAAGAAGAGGGCAGCUCGACGGAAACAGGAGGAACUGGAUGAGCAAAUUUAAAGAAAACUUGGGAAAUAGUGAAAAAAAAUAUAAACAUUUGAGACUAGACUCUUUCAAAAUAUAUUUAAAAAAUAG